GAUGAACGCUGGCGGCGUGCCUAAUACAUGCAAGUCGAGCGAACAGACGAGGAGCUUGCUCCUCUGACGUUAGCGGCGGACGGGUGAGUAACACGUGGAUAACCUACCUAUAAGACUGGGAUAACUUCGGGAAACCGGAGCUAAUACCGGAUAAUAUAUUGAACCGCAUGGUUCAAUAGUGAAAGACGGUUUUGCUGUCACUUAUAGAUGGAUCCGCGCCGCAUUAGCUAGUUGGUAAGGUAACGGCCUACCAAGGCAACGAUGCGUAGCCGACCUGAGAGGGUGAUCGCCCACACUGGAACUGAGACACGGUCCCGACUCCUACGGGAGGCCGCAGUAGGGAAUCUUCCGCAAUGGGCGAAAGCCUGACGGAGCAACGCCGCGUGAGUGAUGAAGGUCUUCGGAUCGUAAAACUCUGUUAUUCGGGAAGAACAAAUGUGUAAGUAACUAUGCACGUCUUGACGGUACCUAAUCAGAAAGCCACGGCUAACUACGUG
rnacentral:rRNA from 1 species